AGGAUAAACGCUGGCGGCGUGCCUAACGCAUGCAAGUCGAACGAUGCCUUCGGGCAUAGUGGCGGACGGGUGAGUAACACGUAGGAACCUGCCCGGAAGUGGGGGACAACUCCGCGAAAGCGGGGCUAAUACCGCAUACGGUCUACGGACCAAAGCCUUCGGGCGCUUUCGGAGGGGCCUGCGGCGGAUUAGCUAGUUGGUGGGGUAACGGCCUACCAAGGCGACGAUCCGUAGCUGGUCUGAGAGGAUGAUCAGCCACACUGGGACUGAGACACGGCCCAGACUCCUACGGGAGGCAGCAGCGAGGAAUUUUCCGCAAUGGGCGAAAGCCUGACGGAGCAACGCCGCGUGGGGGAAGAAGGCCUUCGGGUUGUAAACCCCUGUUGCGAGGGAAGAAGAUCUGACGGUACCUCGCGAGGAAGCCACGGCUAACUACGUGCCAGCAGCCGC
rnacentral:rRNA from 2 species